rnacentral:rRNA from 1 species
GCACAAGCGGUGGAGCAUGUGGUUUAAUUCGAUGAUACGCGAGGAACCUUACCUGGGCUCAAAUGUAUGUUGACGUAUUCUGAAAGGGAUACUUCUUCGGACAAUAUACAAGGUGCUGCAUGGUUGUCGUCAGCUCGUGCCGUGAGGUGUCGGGUUAAGUCCCAUAACGAGCGCAACCCCUAUCAUUAGUUGCCAUCAGGUCAAGCUGGGGACUCUAAUGAAACUGCCUACGCAAGUAGUGAGGAAGGUGGGGAUGACGUCAAAUCAGCACGGCCCUUACGUCCAGGGCUACACACGUGCUACAAUGGCCGGCACAGCGGGAAGCGAGGCAGUGAUGCCAAGCGGAUCCCUUAAAGCCGGUCUCAGUUCGGAUUGAAGUCUGCAACUCGACUUCAUGAAGCUGGAAUCGCUAGUAAUCGCAGAUCAGCCAAGCUGCGGUGAAUACGUUCCCGGGCCUU